AUAUAUAUUUAUUACGAUUUUUUCCCUUUCAUUUCUCUUAUUACACUCUCCAGACUAUUGGCAGAAGGACUCGAUCGAAAAUAUAUUUCUCCGUAAAUUUUAAGAUUCUUCGACAAAAUAUGGCCGUGAAACCAACAGUAGCAUUGAGGGCUUUCCUUGUCGGAGGGAUAGCUGUUUUUGCUAAAGUAGCUGGGGCAAUGAAGGCUGCGGGUGGUGCUAAGCUAGGUGCAGCCGCAGCUGCCAUGACCGUUGCAGCAUCUGCUGCUAUGACAGGAUCAAAACACGACCCAAAUGACGUGUCUAAGCAACCACCAAAAUGAUAUGCCUUUUUUUUCCCCUUUCUUUCGGAAGCUUGUAGACAUUUGUAUUGUAGGUAGCAUAGUUGACUGCUCACUGGAGCUUGUCAAGAGCAGAUGGCUAUGCUUGGAAUUCUAGUUUUGGUCGUUACUUUUGAAAUCACAUGAAAUAAGAAAACCAGCACUUUUUUAUUUGAA